rnacentral:tRNA from 1 species
CGGGGUGUAGCGCAGCCUGGUAGCGCGCCUGCUUUGGGAGCAGGAUGUCGGGGGUUCAAAUCCCUCCUCCCCGA